UUAACUCAAAUUUCUAUGAAGUUGGAACGUUUGCCUACGUUUGCCGCUAGGGGCGCUGUUCCAACUGUAUACAAAUUACAGUUA
rfam:Bombyx mori DNA, contig: Bm_scaf37_contig22131, strain: p50T/Dazao, build 2, whole genome shotgun sequence.